CCAUUAUUACAGGUCACGUCGGUGGUUAAAGGUCAGGGUGCAGCUGUGCAAUUACUUUGCCCAUGCCCUGCUGGUAGACUUGCCUCUGCUCGAGGAAGUUGUAGGCAGCCCCUCAAUGGCAUUUUGGCCUAUUCUUCCAUGGUGGCCAAGCGUCUUGCAAUUGGUUGGAGCACCCACACUACCCCACCACAUGCAGCCUGUAGGUUGACAAACAUUGGCCUCCCAAUUUAUACUGUUUGGAGACCGGAGGUGGAGAAGGGGGGUGGGGGGUUAAGAAAGUUGCCAAUUUUAAGUGUGCUAGAUAUUACACCAAGGUAGCAUACGUUUGCCAGGAUGGGUUAUUAAAUGUAAUUUGAAUUUAGUUAAACUGACAUGUUUCGACCACAGAAUGCCCUGCCCAUGUGCUGCUGGCUCUGGACACCUCGGAGAGCGUGGCGCUGCGUGUAAUGCCCUCCGGUCAUCUGGUGGAAAAGAGCAAGAGCCUUGCGGCCAAGUUUAUCGAGACCCUCAGAAACAGAACGUACCCGUGCGACCGCAUCCUCACGUGGAGCGUGGGCACGCUGUAGUACAGCGACGAGGUGCACGUCAUCAGCGAGCUCGCUGCGCUACCAGCGCACCUCUCGCAGCUGCUGUCUUACCUCGCUACCACCACCUACAUCGGGCGGGGCACUAACACCGACUGUGCUCUGUCCACAGCGAGCCAGCAGCUCAUGCUCAGGUCUGUGCCAGCAAAAGACCUUUAAGCUCCCGCUUGCUUGCUUGCUUGCUCUUGUACCGUUAAUGCCACCAAAACGCAAGUGUGCAUCUGUACGAGUCUGAGAGAUCCAGUGUCCCCUUUGUGCCCAUUUUCGCGUUCCACAUCGCAUAGUAAUGCUGUAAUGAGUUAACAAAAAUAAAUCUCCACUUGAUGUGGCUCAGGGAUCAGAAUACUGAGCCAGCACUGCUGAAAUCCCUGAAAUUUAAAUAUGUGCAGACAUCCAUGAUUUAACCACGUUCUCAUGCGUAGAGAGUUCAGGUUCUCGAUCUAACUGCACAAAAUAAUAUGUUGCCAAUAUAACUCUGAGAAUUCGAAACAUUGCUUUGUAUUUAUAUAGAACUUAUUUCGUAACGUACGUAGCCAACUGUGCUAAUCGGAGGUGUGGGAAGGAUAAACUAAACACAAAAAGCAAUUCAAAAAAAAAUUGUUUUCAAUGUAAUUGCCAUGCAAAUAACACGAAUCAAUGCACAGCAUGUGGGAAAAUACACUGUUAAAAUGUUGAUACAAGAGGUUUCUUGAAUCAACUCUCAGAAAUAGUUAUAUGAUUUCUGCUUCCACAGACUAUUCUCCAACAUGUGGCAUGAUGCACCACUCUGCACGAGUUCCUAAGAGAAACAUCCUAUGACCUGACGCCAAUAGCAACAAUUUUAAUGGAAAUGGAAGAAAACAAAACACCCCGGCAUUAUUGUCAUUAAACAGCACUCACUGUCAUCCAAAUAAACUUUUUUGGCAUUAAAUUUUGGUGUACCCGGCACAGCCGUGACGAGGGACAGAGCGGUCAGUUUCUGGUGGUGGUGGUGAUGGAUGGGCACCCGCUGGACGGAUACCGGGAGCCAUGCGGGGGCCUUGACCACGCGGCCACGAUGGCCAAGGACCAAGGCAUCAAGCUCUUCGCUGUCGCCAUCUCUCCUGGCCACCAGGUUGGCCAGAGCCCACACAGGAAAACUCAUUCGAAAAUAUAUUAUAAAUAUAUAAUCACAAGGAAGGUUGAAAAUGUAUUUGUAAAUUACCAAAUUGGGUAAAGUCGCAUGGCAAAUUUAACUCCCUGUUGUAAAACUACUGCAGGUAAAAAAAGCCUGUGAAACGUCGUGCCUUUGUGAUAGCUACGUGCUAUAAUAAAUGGUGCGAAAGACAUUUAUUAUAGCACAGGGCUAUCAUGAAGGGGAAAUAAAAAAAAAUCGUACAGCACCUCGUACAUGUACAUUGCCCAAAUAUAUAAACACAGGUCCAUGUAUACCUUUGUUGGAUGCCACCCGAAUAGGAGGAGCGGCUGAGUGCCAUCGUGUCGGGGCCCAGGUACAGGAGCAACUUCACAGCCACAAGCAGCAGAGAGUCCGAGAAUGUGAAGACAAUAGAAGAGAUCGUGGACAUCAUCGUAAGGGAGGCCGACCUGAUACACGAGAUCCGUGCGCAGUCUAUCAGCUGAGCACCAAAACACGACGAGAGCUGGAUUCAGAAGCAACCCACACAUUACAUGGCUUCAUUGCAAAAUUGUCAAUACAUGUUUUCUCUCUUCCUUUUUAGUACGAAGAUAUGGAGGCUAUGUGUAAGGAGAAAAAUAAAUUACCUAAGUUUAUAUUUUCAUAUUACUUAAAAAAAUCACACUUAGCAAAGAGUGCUCUAAAUUAAAUCUUAAUGUCGUUAUUCUCUUCCCAACAGUGUUGCUCAUUUGAAUGUGAGCCUCCACGUGGGGAGAUUGGGAUACGUGGAGGCAUCGGGGAGCCUGGAAUUGAUGGGCAAAGAGGUCCUCUCGGAGUUUCUGGUGUCAUGGGACAGAAGGUGAGUUAUGUUCAAAGUGUAGACAUCUUGUUCAUUAUAAUAACAACAAUAAUGCCCUCUACUCAGGAAAGCCUCACCAAGUCUUACAAUGUUUAGUAGGAUCCU